UAAAAAAUAUAUAAUGGUUAUAUACACGAUUAUUAAUGGGCACUAACUGCCCACCCCACGAUCACAUGGUACCAUAAUAAGUGGGAUCCACGUGCUUAAUCAUUACAAACAGUUACCAACAGUGUCUAUAAAAAGGAGAUAAAGAAAUAACGAUAGUAAGAUACUUCUGAGCUGAUACUCUACCACACUUUAUAUUCAAUUUUUUGUUCGACUACUCCUCACU
rnacentral:lncRNA from 1 species